rnacentral:rRNA from 1 species
UGCGUAGGUGGCGCCGUAAGUCGGGUGUGAAAUUUCGGAGCUUAACUCCGAAACUGCAUUCGAUACUGCGGUGCUUGAGGACUGGAGAGGAGACUGGAAUUCAUGGUGUAGCAGUGAAAUGCGUAGAGAUCAUGAGGAAGACCAGUGGCGAAGGCGGGUCUCUGGACAGUUCCUGACACUGAGGCACGAAGGCCAGGGGAGCAAACG